rnacentral:rRNA from 1 species
CCAACGGUGGAUGCCUUGGCGCCUGCUGCCGAUGAAGGACGUGGGAGGCUGCGAUAAGUUACGGGGAGGCGCCGACCAGCCUACGAUCCGUAAAUGUCCGAAUGGGGAAACCCGGCACCUGUAAUGGGGUGUCACUCUCGUUUGAACGCAUAGAACGAGUAGAGGGAACUCGGUGAACUGAAACAUCUCAGUAACCGGAGGAAGUAAAGCAAAAGCGACUCCGUAAGUAGCGGCGAGCGAAAGCGGAACAGCCUAAACCGAAUUGGUGUGAUAGCCCAGUGGCGUUGCCAAUUCGGGGUUGUGGGACGUGGUAGGGGACGCACUGGCCCCCCACAAAGUUACAAAAGUGUUGGUUAGUAGAAUCGUCUGGAAAGUCGAGCCACAGUGGGUAAUGGCCCCGUAUACGAAAAUCAGCGCACUUUGAUCACUGUUCCCGAGUAACGCCGGAUCCGGGAAAGCCGGCGUGAAUCUGCGAGGACCACCUCGUAAGGCUAAGUACAAGCAGGCGACCGAUAGUGAACAAGUACCGUG